rnacentral:rRNA from 1 species
GAUCCUGGCUUAGAACUAACGCUGGCAGUGCGUCUUAAGCAUGCAAGUCAAACGGGAUGUAGCAAUACAUCUAGUGGCGAACGGGUGAGUAACGCGUGGAUGAUCUACCUACGAGAUGGGGAUAACUAUUAGAAAUAGUAGCUAAUACCGAAUAAAGUCAAUUAAUUUGUUAAUUGAUGAAAGGAAGCCUUUAAAGCUUCGCUUGUAGAUGAGUCUGCGUCUUAUUAGCUAGUUGGUAGGGUAAAUGCCUACCAAGGCGAUGAUAAGUAACCGGCCUGAGAGGGUGAACGGUCACACUGGAACUGAGAUACGGUCCAGACUCCUACGGGAGGCAGCAGCUAAGAAUCUUCCGCAAUGGGCGAAAGCCUGACGGAGCGACACUGCGUGAAUGAAGAAGGUCGAAAGAUUGUAAAAUUCUUUUAUAAAUGAGGAAUAAGCUUUGUAGGAAAUGACAAAGUGAUGACGUUAAUUUAUGAAUAAGCCCCGGCUAAUUACGUGCCAGCAGCCGCGGUAAUACGUAAGGGGCGAGCGUUGUUCGGGAUUAUUGGGCGUA